UACCAGCACCCCGAGUGGUCGGGACGAUUAUUGGGCCUAAAGCAUCCGUAGCCGGUUCUACAAGUCUUCCGUUAAAUCCACCUGCUCAACAGAUGGGCUGCGGAGGAUACUAUAGAGCUAGGAGGCGGGAGAGGCAAGCGGUACUUAGUGGGUAGGGGUAAAAUCCGUUGACCCAUUGAAGACCACCAGUGGCGAAGGCGGCUUGCCAGAACGCACUCGACGGUGAGGGAUGAAAGCUGGGGGAGCAAACCGG
rnacentral:rRNA from 1 species